GUAUUGGCUUGUCUAGACGGCUACAUGAACAUUGCCUUGGAACAGACUGAGGAGUACGUCAACGGACAGUUAAAGAACAAAUAUGGCGACGCAUUCAUCAGGGGCAAUAAUGUUCUGUACAUCAGCACACAGAAGAGAAGAGCGUGAAGAAGGGUGUGUGUGAUCCUCAUCAUCCAGACUUGUUGUGAAUGUAAUGACUGGACAGUGAUCCAAAUGUUGUAAUGUCUGCCGUCUGAGUGUACAUCCAGUUUUUUUAAAGUCAUUAAAUCGUUUUUAGUUUAGCAGCCCUUGUUCAUUACAAUUAUACCUUUCCCCAUCUUUUGCCUCUUUGUAUUGGAUUAUAAAGUAAACAACCCAAUAUUUAUAUAAAUACUGAAAACGGAAGAAUUUUGUUAGUAUUGUUCUUUAUACAACAGAAACAUUGAUUUACUACAUUAAAUUUUAUAGUAAAAG
rnacentral:misc_RNA from 1 species